UAAUGGGUUUAUUCGUCAGGUUUUAAUCCCAUCCUUGGAGUCCUUGACAAUGGCUGGACUUCCCAAUCUAGAAGAUUUAUGGACUGAUGAAUCUCCAUUAGAGCUGAGCAAUCUCCAAUUUCUUAAGUUGUCUUCAUGCAAAUCUCUCUCAAAAGUUAUCAACUCCAGGUUACUAAUAAAACUACACAAGUUACAAACUUUAGAGGUAAAAGAUUGCAUUUCAAUGCAAGAAAUUAUUGACCUUGACGAACUAGGCGUCGGUGCAAAUAUUGAGACUCUCUCUGAGCUAAACACCAUCUAUAUAGAUCAAUUACCAAGCUUGAGGUGCAUAUGGAACAAGAACCCUUGUGGAAUUCUGAGAUUCCAUAAUUUGAAGAAAUUAAAGGUGUGGAGUUGUAACAACCUCCGGUUUCUAUUUUUCCCAUCUAUGGUUCAAUCUCUUGCACAAUUGAGAGAACUACAAGUAUGUUUUUGCAAGAACAUGGAGGCGAUCAUUAUGGAGGAAGAAGAGUUGAGAUUAGAAACAUCAAAAACUCUAGUUUUCCCAAUGUUAACCAUGUUAUAUUUGACAAGGUUGGAAAGCUUGAUGUGCUUCUCUCAUAGAAAGUGUACACUAAAAGCUCCGGAUGAGGAUCACGUCAAAUCGUGCUCUAUUUUCCUCUUCAAUCAUGAGGUUGCAUUUCCUAGCUUGGAGAGAUUAACAAUCGGGGGCAUGAAUGAUAUUGAGAUAAUAUGGGACAACCAAGUUGCUGCAGAUUCUUUCCACAAACUAAAAUUGCUUGUGGUGAAGGAAUGCAAUAAGCUAUUGAACAUUGUUCCUUCUUGCUUUCUUGGAUGGCUCAGGGGCUUGGAAAGUUUGGAGGUAGAAUCAUGUAAUUUGCUUGAAGUUGUUUUUAAACUUCAGCCAUUGAAUCUUCUAGAUGGACAUUCGGUUGCUCAUUUGCCAUUAAAAAGGCUAAACUUAGAUAGAUUGCCAAAGCUAAAGUGUGUAUGGGAUAAGGAACUCCACAGUCAAGUCAAAUUUCAAUGUCUUCAUUCUGUUACCGUUUCAAGAUGUGAGAGCCUCACCUCUCUAUUUCUAGCCUCAGCAGCAAAACAUCUAACCCAACUUGAGGAGUUGGAGAUUAGUGAAUGUGGCAUUGUGGAACUCAUCAAGAAGGAAGACGAACAAGUUCCCAGGUUUGUGUUUCCAAAGUUAACCUCCCUUAAGCUUAAGCAUCUAAUAGAGUUGAAGUGCAUCUACAUUGGAAAACAUGCUUUGCAAUGGCCAGCAUUGAAGACCCUAGAGGUGCUUGACUGUAACAAAGUGGAGAUACUUGCAUCGCAACCUAAGAAUGAGAUGCCACUGGAUAAACAGCCUCUUUUCAUGAUAGAAAAGGGUGCAUUCCCAAAUCUUCAAGAGUUAAAAUUGGAUUUAUCCGGAUGGAUGGAGAUAUGGCAUGGGCAUUUUGAUGAUGGAGAAUUCUUCAGCAAGCUUAGAGUUCUUGAGCUUCAUCAUUUCUCGAUGGAACUCGCAAUAUCCACAUGUUUUUUUCAGAGCUUAGCCAACUUGGAAAAACUACUUGUGUGCAAAUCUUACGGAGAAGAGCUUAACAUCAGUAUAGAAGCCCUAGUAGGUCCAAGUCAUGAGCUAGAAGUAAUAUUACCAUUUUCAUUUCAACAUUUGAAGACCCUAGAAGUGUUAUAUUGCGAUGGAUUAUCUCCAUACAAAAUAUUAUCCUAUCCAAAAAAUUUUCAACACCUUGAGACUCUAGAUAUGUCAUUUUGUGAUGGGUUGUCCAUUAUAUUCAAUCCGACAAUAGCUAGAAAUUUGAUGAAACUCACAAAAUUGAGGAUAAGUAACUGUAAAAUGUUGACAGAAGUCAUUUGUGACGAGGAAGGUGAAGAGGGGCUUAUGAUGGCUUUCAAUCAAUUGAGGUAUAUUAAGCUUGAUGGGUUGAAAAGGUUGAGAUGUUUCAGCUCAAUUAAAUACACUUUAAUGUUCCCUCUCUUGGAAGAUGUCAUAAUGAGUGGAUGUCCUAGCAUGAAGUUCUUCUCCUGGGGACCAAUAGAGGCGCCAAAGUUGGAUAGAGUACAAGUAUCAACGGAAUUGUGGUUUUGGAAGGAAAACCUCAACAUCACCAUCCAAAAUAUGUUUGAAGAAAUGGAAAUGGUUGCUAGAGUGAGGUUUAUACAGCUAUCUGAGAUCCCUGAGUUGAUUGGAAAAUGGCAUGGCGAACUUAAUCCCAUCAAGUUAUCUUGGGAAUUAAGAUCAUUGAUAGUGGAUAAAUGUCCAUCAUUUAUUAAUGCUAUUUCAUCCAAAUUGAUGCGUCUUUUAGUCAAUAUGAGAAGGUUGCAAAUUUGCGAUUGCAAGUCUCUAGAAGAAAUAUUUGUUCUUGAAGGGCUGGUGGGUUUGGGAAGCACUUGUAUGAUACCUUCCUCCAUGACUUUGGACUUGGUGAAUCUACCAAAUUUGAGGCGACUAUGGAACAAAGAUCUUCAAGGAUCGCUACCCUGCAAUUUUCUACGUUCUAUAACCCUUUAUAAUUGCAGCAACUUAAGACAUGCUUUCAAUCCAUCGAUGGCUCAGUGUCUUGCCAAUCUAAAUCGGGUUGAAAUAAAGGAGUGUGAUCAGAUGGAAGGAGUGAUCGAAGAGGAAGAAGGGCAGCGGAGCACACUGGAGAAGAUUACAUUCCCAAAUCUUUCGAUGAUGAAGUUAGAAUGCUUGCCCAAUUUGACUAGCUUCCUUUUGGGGAAGAAUCAAAUACUGGAAUGCCCCAACUUAGUAGAGUUGACCAUUGCCCAUUGCCCCAAUAUGAGUAGUUUGACUGGACAAUCCUUGCUGGAGAUUGACCACUGCAGUCCUUCACUUUUCAGCCCACAGGUACAAUUUCCUCGACUUAAGUAUAUGGCUCUCUCCCACAUGAACAAUUUAAGCAAAGUAUGGACCAACAGUCCUCAAGAUACUCUCACUUUUGAACAUUUAUGGAAAGUGAAGGUUGAGAAUUGUAAGAGCCUUGAAAAUUUGUUUCCACAUUGGGUAGUUACACGUCUAACGCAACUUACGGAUCUUCAAGUGGAGUCAUGCGGGCUUGAGGAAAUAGUCACGAGUGGAGAUGGCACUUCACAUCCUAAUACUGCUCAAUUUCUUUUCCCGCAACUAACUUCACUGGCAUUCCAUGAUAUGCCAAAUCUCAAGAGCUUCUGCCCUAAUUUGCCCACUUUGAAUUGGCCAUUCUUGAAGGAAUUGCGAGUAACACAUUGUGACAAACUGAACUUGUUGUCCUUUGUAACAUCCAUGAACGAGUGGGCUCAAAAAGGCAAUCAACAUGACCUUUCCGACCAUGGAGCGAACUUCUCCAUUGAGAGGGGCAUUCCCAUCUUAGAGAGACUUUUAUUAGUCGACGAGGAUAUUCAAAUGAUACAGAAUGGAAAAUUUUCUGAUGACUUUUUUGGCAAGCCAAAAGCACUAACAUUAGCAUGCUUUCAUGAUGAAAAUGCCGUCUUUCCUGCCAUAAUCCUCCUACAAAGAUUUCAAAAUCUACGAAGCCUUGAGAUCUUAUGUAGUUCUUUUGAAGAAAUAUUCCUUGGUGAAGGGCUUGUUGAUGAGGGAAAACAUCUAGUUCUUGAAAAUUUGAAAGAACUUAAGUUAAGCAAGCUACACAACCUAAAGUGUGUAUGGAGAAAAGGCUAUUUGGUGGCGAAAAUUCUCCAGAGUAUUAGUAAAUUUGAGGUUUGGGAUUGUCCUAGUUUGACAACAUUAUUUCCAGUCGAGACAUCUUUCCAGAAUUUGACGGCAUUAGUAGUGAAGAAUUCUUCUGGAUUGGUACAUCUAGUGACAGUUUCAGCAAUCGCAAAUUUGGUGCAUCUCAUUAACAUGACUAUAAUUGGAUGUGAAAGAAUGAAAGAAGUAGUGGUAAACGAUGAAAAUAGAGAAGGAAAAGUGAUUUCUCUUGGGAAGCUAGAAAGUUUGACCCUUCGACAUUUGCCAAGCCUAGAAUGCUUCUUCUCCACCAAAAGUUGCAUAUUCAAGUUUCCAUCCAUGUAUUCAAUAGAAGUGGAAGAGUGCCCAAAAAUGAAGAUCUUUUGUAAGAGUAUGAUAAGCACACCAAAACUCCGUCAGGUGACAUUGUUCAGAUACAAGUGGCAAGGGGACUGGGAGGGUGAUCUCAACACAACCAUACAAAAGUUAACAACAUAAAUAAAUGCACAUAAUAUUGGGAAGGGUAGAUGCUGCAAGUGGUACAGAGAUCUGGAAGUUCAAAGGCAGAGUCAAAAGUUGAGAUGACGGAAAUUUCUAUUAAGAUGUUACAGCUUACUGCACAAAUUGUGCUCCGGGGAAGACUUGUCAUUGGAGAGAAGAUGAAUAGCGGCUGGCAAUCUGCACCAGGAGACAACUCAUUUUUUCAAGAUCAUACUCUCUCUAAAGGAAGGAGAUGUCUGUGUGUUUGAGCCUGUUAGAAUUGAUAAUAUGGAACUCGAAGUCUCCAUUUUCGGGAGGAAUUUCAAGACCUAGGUGUAGACUUUAGUAUGCCCAUAGAAAAAUCACUGCCUCACUAUGUUUUGUUUAGUUAAUCAGAUCAAAAAAAGCAAAACUUUCUGCCGCAAGUAAUUGAAUGGUGAUGUAUUUCCUUAUUUUUUUGGAGAGUAGUGAACAUUGCACCUGUACGUUGUCCUUUAUUCAACAAAGUAUAAAUCGAACUCACGCGGAGCAUGGGAUUGAUAAAAUAAAAGGUCAAGGGCCAUCCU